UACGUAGGGUGCGAGCGUUAAUCGGAAUUAUUGGGCGUAAAGCGUGCGCAGGCGGUUUUGUAAGUCAGAUGUGAAAUCCCCGGGCUUAACUUGGGAAUGGCAUUUGGGACUGCAAGGCUUGAGUGCGGCAGAGGAGACUGGAAUUCCUGGUGUAGCAGUGAAAUGCGUAGAUAUCAGGAGGAACACCGAUGGCGAAGGCGGGCUUCUGGACAGAGACUGACGCUGAGACACGAAAGCGUGGGGAGCAAACAGG
rnacentral:rRNA from 1 species